rnacentral:rRNA from 1 species
GGCAGCAUGACCUAGCAAUAGGUUGAUGGCGACCGGCGCACGGGUGAGUAACACGUAUCCAACCUACCGGUUAUUCCGGGAUAGCCUUUCGAAAGAAAGAUUAAUACCGGAUAGUAUAACGAGAAGGCAUCUUCUUGUUAUUAAAGAAUUUCGAUAACCGAUGGGGAUGCGUUCCAUUAGUUUGUUGGCGGGGUAACGGCCCACCAAGACAUCGAUGGAUAGGGGUUCUGAGAGGAAGGUCCCCCACAUUGGAACUGAGACACGGUCCAAACUCCUACGGGAGGCAGCAGUGAGGAAUAUUGGUCAAUGGACGAGAGUCUGAACCAGCCAAGUAGCGUGAAGGAUGACUGCCCUAUGGGUUGUAAACUUCUUUUAUAUGGGAAUAAAGUGAGCCACGUGUGGCUUUUUGUAUGUACCAUACGAAUAAGGAUCGGCUAACUCCGUGCCAGCAGCCGCGGUAAUACGGAGGAUCCGAGCGUUAUCCGGAUUUAUUGGGUUUAAAGGGAGCGUAGGCGGACUAUUAAGUCAGCUGUGAAAGUUUGCGGCUCAACCGUAAAAUUGCAGUUGAUACUGGUCGUCUUGAGUGCAGUAGAGGUAGGCGGAAUUCGUGGUGUAUCGGUGAAAUGCUUAGAUAUCACGAAGAACUCCGAUUGCGAAGGCAGCUUACUGGACUGUAACUGACGCUGAUGCUCGAAAGUG